rnacentral:rRNA from 1 species
ACACGGAGGAAAAGAAACCAACUGGGAUUACCUUAGUAACGGCGAGUGAAGCGGUAAAAGCUUCAAAUUUGAAAUUCCUGGUACUUUCAGUGCCCGAGUUGUAAUUUGUAGAAUUUGUCUUUGAUUAGGUCCUUGUCUAUGUUCCUUGGAACAGGACGUCAUAGAGGGUGAGAAUCCCGUUUGGCGAGGAUACCUUUUCUCUGUAAGACUUUUUCGAAGAGUCGAGUUGUUUGGGAAUGCAGCUCAAAGUGGGUGGUAAAUUCCAUCUAAAGCUAAAUAUUGGCGAGAGACCGAUAGCGAACAAGUACAGUGAUGGAAAGAUGAAAAGAACUUUGAAAAGAGAGUGAAAAAGUACGUGAAAUUGUUGAAAGGGAAGGGCAUUUGAUCAGACAUGGUGUUUUUUGCAUGCACUCGCCUCUCGUGGGCUUGGGCCUCUCAAAAAUUUCACUGGGCCAACAUCAAUUCUGGCAGCAGGAUAAAUCAUUAAGAAUGUAGCUACUUCGGUAGUGUUAUAGCUUUUUGGAAUACUGUUAGCCGGGAUUGAGGACUGCGCUUCGGCAAGGAUGUUGGCAUAAUGGUUAAAUGCCGCCCGUCU